GAGCUACUGGUGGAUGUUCAGAAGAAACAAUAGAUGAAAUGCACAUGUUAGCACGACGUAUACAUAUUGUCAAAACGAAGGAUUUCUAGAUACUGACGAUAACGAUGAAGGAGCUAAUGGUGGAUUUUCAGAAGAAACAAUAGAUAAAAUGGCCAUGUUAAGACGACUUAUACAUAUUGACGAGAACGAACGAUUUCUAGAUAUUGACGAUGACGAUGAAGAUACCUACGAUCUUGGAAGUGAUGAAAUUGACGAAAUCUACUUGGUAAAGU